AUUGAACGCUGGCGGCAUGCCUUACACAUGCAAGUCGAACGGUAACAGGUCUUCGGAUGCUGACGAGUGGCGAACGGGUGAGUAAUACAUCGGAACGUGCCUAGUAGUGGGGGAUAACUACUCGAAAGAGUGGCUAAUACCGCAUGAGAUCUACGGAUGAAAGCAGGGGAUCGCAAGACCUUGUGCUACUAGAGCGGCCGAUGGCAGAUUAGGUAGUUGGUGGGAUAAUAGCUUACCAAGCCGACGAUCUGUAGCUGGUCUGAGAGGACGAUCAGCCACACUGGGACUGAGACACGGCCCAGACUCCUACGGGAGGCAGCAGUGGGGAAUUUUGGACAAUGGGCGAAAGCCUGAUCCAGCAAUGCCGCGUGCAGGAUGAAGGCCUUCGGGUUGUAAACUGCUUUUGUACGGAACGAAAAGCCCGGGUUAAUACCCUGGGGUCAUGACGGUACCGUAAGAAUAAGCACCGGCUAACUACGUGCCAGCAGCCGCCGUAA
rnacentral:rRNA from 1 species